GACAGAGGUCUCAAGCGUUAGGCGGAAUCACUGGGCUUAAAGCGUGUGUAGGCGGAUCGUUAAGUGCCUUGUGAAAUCCCACAGCUCAACUGUGGAACUGCUUGGCAUACUGGCGGUCUUGAGCCAUCUAGGGGUCGCUGGAACAAACGGUGGAGCGGUGAAAUGCGUAGAUAUCGUUUGGAACGCCAAUGGUGAAAACAGGCGACUGGGGGUGUGCUGACGCUGAGACACGAAAGCCAGGGGAGCAAACGGG
rnacentral:rRNA from 1 species